rnacentral:rRNA from 1 species
CCUACGGGAGGCAGCAGUGGGGAAUAUUGCACAAUGGGGGAACCCCUGAUGCAGCGACGCCGCGUGAGUGCAGAAGUAUUUCGGUACGUAAAGCUCUAUCAGCAGGGAAGCACAUGACGGUCCCUGACUAAGAAGCCCCGGCUAACUACGUGCCAGCAGCCGCGGUAAUACGUAGGGGGCAAGCGUUAUCCGGCUUUACUGGGUGUAAAGGGCGCGUAGACGGCAGCGCAAGUCUGAAGUGAAAUCCCAUGGCUUAACCAUGGAACUGCUUUGGAAACUGGGCAGCUGGAGUGCAGGAGAGGGAAGCAGAAUUCCUAGUGUAGCGGUGAAAUGCGUAGAUAUUAGGAGGAACACCAGUGGCGAAGGCGGCUUACGGGACUGUAACUGACGUUGAGGCUCGAAAGCGUGGGGAGCAAACAGGAUUAGAUACCCUUGUAGUC